rnacentral:miRNA from 1 species
CAUCUCAUCCUGGGGCUGG